rnacentral:lncRNA from 1 species
UUUCUAUCCCAGUCUAUUUUCCAGACCGGCUGUAAUGACUGCACUGUGCGCAUCAAACGAAUUAAACGCACUUGACAAAUGGUCCAUGUUCAGCCGCUGAAAACAAGAACAUGCAACACCUCUCAGAAACAGCAUCAUUUAUUGAAGGAAACAUUUACUAGAACUGCUUUAGGAAAAAGGUACUAAUUAUGUUUUAAUUACAUUAGGCUGCUGCUUUGUCUGGAACUUGGGUAAUGGCAUGUAUGGAAGGUAACAAAUUAGAUUGCGUUAAGUUGUUUGUAUCACUGAUCGUUCGAUUUUACAGGGAAAUGUAACAAACGAAAAAUUAAAAGUAAAAAAUUACUCUACUUGUGGAUGAAUAUGAAUCAGUCCAUACAUAUCACAAAAAGGAAUGCUACUCUCUAGCAACAUGCUACACUUGUUACUUUGACAGCAAGACAAUGGCCACAAACAUGUGUAACCCAACAUUGAAAUGAACCUUCAUUCUCACAGUGUUUACUCUGCGGCUACACUUUAGAAAACUGGUCUAUAAGCAUUCCCGUCCCCUAAAGCAGCAUUCCUCAGGUGUUGACUGACAGGAUUAUUUCACUGUGGAGAAAAGCUCGUUGUUUCAUGAACAAAGGACAUUUUGUCACAUGAUCAGUGUGUGUGUGUGUGUGUGUGUGUGUGUGUGUGUGUGUGUGUGUGUGUGUGUGUGUGUGUGUGUGUGUGUGUAUGUGUGUGUGUGUGUGUGUGUGUGUGUGUAACAGAGAAUGUUAUGCUCUUGUGCAACUAUAAGUGAGCCUUUACCAGACUCAGCAGCAUAACCUGUACGAUCAUGGAGAGCUUUGUACUGUGCUUCCUUCUUCUGCUGCAGCUGGUACCACUGUCUGACGCUGGUUGUGCAGGACCACCAGCACUGUGCUGUGCUAAUAAAAACAACAGCUGUUAUAGGGGCUGUUUCUGUGAUGAGGCGUGUGUGAAAUUAGGCGACUGCUGUUCUGACUACGUCUCCACCUGCACACAGCGUAAGUGAACAUGUAAAAGGAGCAUACCGUACACAGCUACGGUCUGUCUGCUUUGGACAUGUCAGUGCUAAGAUGCUGUUCAACACGUAUAUUGUCUAUGAUGGUUGGUUAGGCUGU